CACGUAGGGGGCGAGCGUUGUCCGGAAUUACUGGGCGUAAAGGGUGCGUAGGUGGUUUCUUAAGUCAGAGGUGAAAGGCUACGGCUCAACCGUAGUAAGCCUUUGAAACUGGGAAACUUGAGUGCAGGAGAGGAGAGUGGAAUUCCUAGUGUAGCGGUGAAAUGCGUAGAUAUUAGGAGGAACACCAGUUGCGAAGGCGGCUCUCUGGACUGUAACUGACACUGAGGCACGAAAGCGUGGGGAGCAAACAGGAUUAGAUACCCCCGUAGUCCCUGAGCGGG
rnacentral:rRNA from 1 species